rnacentral:misc_RNA from 1 species
GGGAAGAUGAAACAUGAAAAUGUGCUACCUUUGCGGGCAUUUUACUAUUCAAAAGAUGAAAAAUUGUUGGUAUCUGAUUACAUGCCUGCUGGAAGUUUAUCAGCUCUUCUCCAUGGUAGUAGAGGAUCAGGGCGUACGCCACUUGACUGGGAUAGUCGAAUGAGGAUAGUGUUAGGUGCAGCAAGAGGCAUUGCAUACCUCCAUAUUUCAGGAAAAGUUGUACAUGGAAACAUCAAGGCUUCGAAUGUUCUCCUUAAACAAGAUAACCAAGAUGCAUGUGUAUCCGACUAUGGAUUGAACCCUCUAUUCUCCACCUCUGCACCAGUUAACCACCGUGUUGCAGGAUAUCGUGCACCUGAGGUUCUUGAAACUAGAAAAGUCAC